ACUUUCAACAACGGAUCUCUUGGUUCUGGCAUCGAUGAAGAACGCAGCAAAAUGCGAUAAGUAAUGUGAAUUGCAGAAUUCAGUGAAUCAUCGAAUCUUUGAACGCACAUUGCGCCCGCCAGUAUUCUGGCGGGCAUGCCUGUUCGAGCGUCAUUUCAACCCUCAAGCACAGCUUGGUGUUGGGACUCGCGUUAAUUCGCGUUCCUCAAAUUGAUUGGCGGUCACGUCGAGCUUCCAUAGCGUAGUAGUAAAACCCUCGUUACUGGUAAUCGUCGCGGCCACGCCGUUAAACCCCAACUUCUGAAUGUUGACCUCGGAUCAGGUAGGAAUACCCGCUGAACUUAAGCAUAUCAAUAAGCGGAGGAAAAGAAACCAACAGGGAUUGCCCUAGUAACGGCGAGUGAAGCGGCAACAGCUCAAAUUUGAAAUCUGGCUCUCGGGCCCGAGUUGUAAUUUGUAGAGGAUACUUUUGAUGCGGUGCCUUCCGAGUUCCCUGGAACGGGACGCCAUAGAGGGUGAGAGCCCCGUCUGGUUGGAUGCCAAAUCUCUGUAAAGUUCCUUCAACGAGUCGAGUAGUUUGGGAAUGCUGCUCUAAAUGGGAGGUAUAUGUCUUCUAAAGCUAAAUACCGGCCAGAGACCGAUAGCGCACAAGUAGAGUGAUCGAAAGAUGAAAAGCACUUUGAAAAGAGAGUUAAAAAGUACGUGAAAUUGUUGAAAGGGAAGCGUUUAUGACCAGACUUGGGCUUGGUUAAUCAUCUGGGGUUCUCCCCAGUGCACUUUUCCAGUCCAGGCCAGCAUCAGUUUUCCCCGGGGGAUAAAGGCGGCGGGAAUGUGGCUCUCUUCGGGGAGUGUUAUAGCCCACCGUGUAAUACCCUGGGGGGGACUGAGGUUCGCGCAUCUGCAAGGAUGCUGGCGUAAUGGUCAUCAACGACCCGUCUUGAAACACGGACCAAGGAGUCGUCUUCGUAUGCGAGUGUUCGGGUGUCAAACCCCUACGCGUAAUGAAAGUGAACGCAGGUGAGAGCUUCGGCGCAUCAUCGACCGAUCCUGAUGUUCUCGGAUGGAUUUGAGUAAGAGCAUACGGGGCCGGACCCGAAAGAAGGUGAACUAUGCCUGUAUAGGGUGAAGCCAGAGGAAACUCUGGUGGAGGCUCGCAGCGGUUCUGACGUGCAAAUCGAUCGUCAAAUAUGGGCAUGGGGGCGAAAGACUAAUCGAACCUUCUAGUAGCUGGUUUCCGCCGAAGUUUCCCUCAGGAUAGCAGUGUUGAACUCAGUUUUAUGAGGUAAAGCGAAUGAUUAGGGACUCGGGGGCGCUAUUUAGCCUUCAUCCAUUCUCAAACUUUAAAUAUGUAAGAAGCUCUUGUUGCUUAAUUGAACGUGAGCAUUCGAAUGUAUCAACACUAGUGGGCCAUUUUUGGUAAGCAGAACUGGCGAUGCGGGAUGAACCGAACGCGAGGUUAAGGUGCCAGAGUAGACGCUCAUCAGACACCACAAAAGGUGUUAGUACAUCUUGACAGCAGGACGGUGGCCAUGGAAGUCGGAAUCCGCUAAGGACUGUGUAACAACUCACCUGCCGAAUGUACUAGCCCUGAAAAUGGAUGGCGCUCAAGCGUCUCACCCAUACCUCGCCCUCAGGGUAGAAACGAUGCCCUGAGGAGUAGGCGGACGUGGAGGUCAGUGACGAAGCCUAGGGCGUGAGCCCGGGUUGAACGGCCUCUAGUGCAGAUCUUGGUGGUAGUAGCAAAUACUUCAAUGAGAACUUGAAGGACCGAAGUGGGGAAAGGUUCCAUGUGAACAGCGGUUGGACAUGGGUUAGUCGAUCCUAAGCCAUAGGGAAGUUCCGUUUCAAAGGUGCACUUUGCACCGUCUGGCGAAAGGGAAGCCGGUCAAUAUUCCGGCACCUGGAUGUGGGUUUUGCGCGGCAACGCAACUGAACGUGGAGACGACGGCGGGGGCCCCGGGCAGAGUUCUCUUUUCUCUCACCCUGAAAUCGGUUUG
rnacentral:rRNA from 1 species